GCACAUGCACGUGUUGUGUUGUGUUUCCUCCAUAAGAAAUUCUUUUCCUGGAUUUGUGAUCCCUGUGGAAUAUUAAGAACCUCUCCGAUUGAAUCUCAGGGAGGAACCGGAGGUAUGUAUGACAACUGUUUGAGAAGAAGGUCCCAAAUCCCUGUCUUAAAACCUUGGGAUUGUGCUUGAGACUCAGCCCCGAUGUGUUCCGUGGUGAGUCACUCACCUGGUUUACCUACACUGUAUGCUCCCCCUACCUGCCCCUACCUUGUCAUAAGUGCUGAGGAUUGAACCCAUGGCCUCGUUGCAUGUCAGGUGCUGGGAACAUUAAAUCUUCAUGUCUGGAGGACAAGAAAACUAAAAGUACUCAUUGUUCAGUAGCCACUGAGGCUGAUGGGAGGCGGGACUGUGGAUUCACGUGGCUGACGAUGACUGGUCUUCCUGGCCAUAUUGCUUUCUCUUUCUUUUAUCAAGUACAGACAUGGCGCCUGCCUGGAGUGGUGGUAUGAGUGCCCAAUCUCAACGAAACAACCAAGGCCACCUGUUCCCAUUUUUUUUUAUUGCUGUUGUUACAUGUGUAUAUGUGACAUAUGUGCAUGUAUGUUCAUGUGUUUGUGGGUACACAUUGUAUGCCGGUGUGUGUGGAUAUGUCUCUACGUGGCCAUUGAAGAAAUUAAAACAGGAAGACUCG
ensembl:lincRNA A330102I10Rik RIKEN cDNA A330102I10 gene